AGUAACGGCGGAGUGUAGCGGCAACAGCUCAAAUUUGAAAUCUGGCGCAAGCCCGAGUUGUAAUUUGUAGAGGAUGUUUCUGGCGACGUGCCUUCCGAGUUCCCUGGAACGGGACGCCAUAGAGGGUGAGAGCCCCGUACGGUUGGAUGCGUAGCCUCUGUGAAACUCCUUCGACGAGUCGAGUUGUUUGGGA
rnacentral:rRNA from 1 species